UACAGAGGGGGCUAGCGUUGUUCGGAAUUACUGGGCGUAAAGGGCGCGUAGGUGGCCUGUUAAGUCGAACGUGAAAUCCCCGGGCUCAACCCGGGAACUGCGUCCGAGACUGGCAGGCUCGAAUCCGGGAGAGGGAUGUGGAAUUCCAGGUGUAGCGGUGAAAUGCGUAGAUAUCUGGAGGAACACCGGUGGCGAAGGCGGCAUUCUGGACCGGUAUUGACGCUGAGGCGCGAAAGCCAGGGGAGCAAACGGG
rnacentral:rRNA from 1 species